CGAACAGACCAAGAGCUUCCUGCCUCGCCCGGUGGGUACAAACGCCAGCAGAGGGCAAGAAGAAAGCCUGGCAGGACCGUGGGGUCCGACAGAUUAAAUGGCAAGAGGAGGCAGACAAAACAGCGCGGGCACAGCCCCGAGAGGCCUCUCCUGUGCAGAGAGAGAGGAACCGAGCGGACGAAAACCCCCUGGGACCAGCCCGGAGGUGGGGUUUUUUCGCAAUCACAAAAGGACAGCACGAAGGCUUUUACUUGGAAGGUGACUAGGGGACAUCUGACGGCCACCGUCCCUGGGGCGCUCUCACUUCAGGCUGCCCGUGGGGCUCGGGGGCAGCGGCGCGCUCCCCCGGACCCCGCUCCGGGUCAGGCUGCAGGUCACAAAGCCGCCUCUUCCCCCUCCGCAGCUCCACAAUGACUUCCCUGCGCCCAAGCAGAAGUAAGACCUGCCCCAGCGAACACGCCGGGAGCGGUCCCCGCAGCCACGCGAGCCCGCUGGACUCCGCGGGGCAUCCCCGCCGCUACAGCCCACGGCAGCUCACCCCGUCCGAGCUGCCCUCCCCAAACCCUCACGAAAUUGUUGGUAAAUUCGCCAAAAGCAUCUCGCAGGACCCCCGGCACGCCUGCCGUCCCGAGCCGGCCACCGGUCCGGGGGAUAAGGCUUUAAAGAGACGGAGGCUGAUUUCCGGAGCCUGAUUUCCGUAUUUACCAACACAAGAGGAUUCGCAAGCUGUACGAAGUGAACAAAGCACGAUGUGAUCCAGUUAAAAUGAAGUCACUAGCGUGGCCCAAAUCCAACGAUGGAUGGCUUUGUCAGAAACGAAGACACAGACACAUGCAGAGGACAAGGUGGUGGGAAGGUGUUGGAGAGCUUGGAGGGUUGCGGCCACAAGCCAAGGGCCCCCGGGGAGCCCCCGCUGAGAGCUAGAAGAGGCAAGGGAGGAUUCUGUCCUCAAGCCUUCAGAGGGAGCAUGGCAAGUUCUUUAGGACUAAUAUGAAUGAAACGGCAAUCUCGGGGAGAGGCUUGGGCACCGGCAUGUAAAACUCUGGCCCUGGGAAAUACAGAGCUUUAAAAUAAUAU